rnacentral:rRNA from 1 species
UACGGGGGGAGCAAGCGUUGUUCGGAUUUACUGGGCGUAAAGGGCGCGUAGGCGGUCAGCACAAGUCAGUUGUGAAAUCUCCGGGCUUAACUCGGAAAGGUCAACUGAUACUGUGCGACUAGAGUGCGGAAGGGGCAACUGGAAUUCUCGGUGUAGCGGUGAAAUGCGUAGAGAUGUGGAGGAACACCAGUGGCGAAGGCGACUCUUUGGCCUGUAACUGACGCUGAGGCGCGAAAGCGUGGGGAGCAAACAGG